CCUACGGGAGGCAGCAGUGGGGGAUAUUGGGCAAUGGGCGCAAGCCUGACGCAGCAACGCCGCGUGAGGGAAGAAGGCUUUCGGGUCGUAAACCUCUGUUCGCAGGGACGAAGAUAGUGACGGUACCUGAGGAAUAAGCCACGGCUAACUACGGGCCAGCAGCCGCGGUAAUACGUAGGUGGCAAGCGUUAUCCGGAUUUAUUGGGUGUAAAGGGCGUGUAGGCGGGGGCGCAAGUCAGAUGUGAAAACUCAGGGCUCAACCCUGCGCCUGCUUUUGAAACUGUGUUGCUUGAGUGCUGGAGAGGCAAGCGGAAUUCCUGGUGUAGCGGUGAAAUGCGUAGAUAUAAGGAGGAACACCAGUGGCGAAGGCGGAUUGCUGGACAGUAACUGACGUUGAGGCGCGAAAGCGUGGGGAGCAAACAGGAUUAGAUACCCUGGUAGUC
rnacentral:rRNA from 1 species